CCCCCUUGAACAAAUUCUUAAAGGUUAGGUUACUACCUGCUUCUACGGAAGAGGUUUACUUUGUACCGCCCGGAGGUCAUAUAGAUCGGAAUCCGGAGCGAUAAGAACGAAAGGGUUGGUGUGGCCACAGCUACAACUACUGGCGCUUCAAAUUAGAUUCUAAGGGCGCAAGUAGAAAGAAAAUCUUUAUACGCUAUUAUCAUCCAAUGAAUUCAUUGCAACACCACGAACAAUGAGACUUCUGUCUCGCUUACCU
rnacentral:lncRNA from 1 species